rnacentral:rRNA from 1 species
UACUAUGCCUAGCCAUAACAAAACAAUUAAAUAACUAAUUGUUCGCCAAAUAACUACGAGUGCAAACUUAAAAUUUAAAAGACUUGACGGUGCUUCACAACAACCUAGAGGAGCCUGUCUAACAACCGAUACCCCACGAUUAACCCAACCCGCUCUAGCCUAUCAGUCUAUAUACCGCCGUCGCCAGCUUACCUUGUGAAAGAAACAAAGUAAGCCCAAUAGGCCACCCUAGCACGACAGGUCGAGGUGUAACAAAUGGACGGGUAAAAGAUGGGCUACAUUUUCUAACACAGAAAACACGAACAGACUAUGAAACUAGAAACUGAAGGCGGAUUUAGCAGUAUGUUAAGGACAAAACACUUAACCGAAACCAAUGCAAUGAAGCGCGUACACACCGCCCGUCAUCCCUGUCACAAACAAACAAUAAAAAUUAUAAAUACACCACCACUUUUAAAGCAGGGCAAGUCGU